AUUGAACGCUGGCGGAAUGCUUUACACAUGCAAGUCGAACGGCAGCACGGGGGCAACCCUGGUGGCGAGUGGCGAACGGGUGAGUAACACAUCGGAACGUGCCCAGUCGUGGGGGAUAACGUAGCGAAAGCUACGCUAAUACCGCAUACGAACUCUGGUUGAAAGCGGGGGACCGUGUAAGGGCCUCGCGCGAUUGGAGCGGCCGAUGGCAGAUUAGGUAGUUGGUGGGGUAAAGGCUCACCAAGCCGACGAUCUGUAGCUGGUCUGAGAGGACGACCAGCCACACUGGGACUGAGACACGGCCCAGACUCCUACGGGA
rnacentral:rRNA from 1 species